rnacentral:lncRNA from 1 species
AACAUAACGUGUAAGGUAAUUUAUUUUAAAAGUCAUUACUUUAUUACAUUGAGUUGCAAGCUACCCCUUGGUCGUUAGGGCAAAUCUGGUCUGUGAUAGGAGUUUUUUUUUCUCACACCUAGCUCAGAUAUUAGACUAUUCUUUAGUAAACAUUGACUAGUCUUGUUCAGCUAUUAGCCCAACUUGCAACAAAUUGCUGUUCCCAUCUCAUUUCUUUCCCUCUUCCACGUGUCAUCAUUCAUCAUUGUCAGUGGCUCGCUUGUGGGCGUGCAGGCAGGAUAUGGCAGCAGCUUCGGUUGUGCGUCAAGAAUUCUGCAUACAGUAGCGCGUUUGUAGGAAUGUGUGGUUAUUCACAGGCAAAUUGUUAUGUGCUAUGGAGGUACAUUUGUGUCUUUUUGUCGAGAGCAAAACCUUUUUUAUUUUCAAUCAAAAAUAAUUGUUCUGAAAGCAACUUUUUUCCGACACAAAGGAAGUCAAAGCGGACACCUACGAAGAUGGCAUCUCAGAGUGAGCUGACCAAGGGGUCGAAAAUAUAGAUAUUGCCAGAUGUUCACUGUCUGAGGAACAGGCCGUGUAAGCUGUAUUGCUGGCAAAAGUGUCCAUAACCAGAGCAUAAAGUACUCUCUAGCCACUUAGUGUGGACACCAGGUGAGACCACACACACAAUAACAGUCUCUCUUCUUCACUUCAUCCCUCUCUCCAUUCUCCCUAAACCCCUCCCGCAUCUGAACUGGCUGACACAGAGGGCAGGGCAUGAUCAUAGGUGAGAUGUCACUUGGUCGGGUCAACAGGAAGUAUUAUUAAAAAGAUGCUUUACAUUGAAAUACAGACAGAGAUGAAGUAGUCCCAGAGUUAAUGAUCCAAGGUAUGUUAUGAUGUGAGAGAGGAAGCCAGUCCCGUCAUCGCCACCUCACCCGCUCUUAAUAUACCUUUUGGGCCAACUGGGGGCCAAAGGCUGGUUAGGAAACACCGCAAUUGUGAUGAACUGAGAGGAUAUUAGGGUAGCACUGAAAUUCAUGAGUCAUAUGCUGUCUGCCGCUGUUCUUACCUCUUUCUCUUUCUGUCUUCUACACCUCUCACCUCAUCUUUCUUCCUCGUUUUAUAAUGCACACCAUAUGUGCAUUGAAGUACAGAUUGAACUUGUAUUUAUAAUAUAGUAUUACAAUUAUCAUAAUUAUAAUGCAUUUAUGUAUUUAUAACACCUGGAUAAUGAACUUUUUUCAAUAAAGC